rnacentral:lncRNA from 1 species
AAAAAAUAACGAUAAAGCUUCCAUACAUUUGAAAAACCUCGAAAGAUAUCAGAAAGAGCAAUCGAACUUGCAACCCACUAACUAACAACAAAUAUAUAGGAGAUGAAUUAGCAAGUCAAAGGCAGAUGGAUCAAUCAUUGCAGUGUACCUCAAUGAUAAAACUAAAACAUCUUAAUAGAUUUGAACCAAAGCCAAAUAGAGCUCAGAAACAGAGUAGAAGGACGGAUAUUGGCUUUCAGGGUUCACACCAAACCAUGACGGGAUAUGAACACACACAAAUCACAACAACAACAACAACUACCCAGUAUACUCCCACCAGGUGGGGUCUGGGGAAACACUGAAUCACAAAUAAUAAAGAAUCGGAGAAGAAAUAAACAUGAGUUUAGUAAUGCUUUCAAUAAUAAUAGAGAAAUACAAGGUUUGGCUCCAAAAUUCUAACUGAAAACCGUAACAGAAAUUGCAAGCCAAAAAUCCAAAUCACGAGACUUGGAUGGAACUCAAACCGGCACCGAAAUUCCGAACUCAAACACAAAAGUUCGACUCAAACUUUAAUCUAACCCCAUUUUUGAGAUCCAAAAUACAAAUACUGAAUUUUGUAGUUCUUUUUUUCUAUAUUAUUUUUGAAAUAAAGCUCUAGUAAAUCAAACUCAGGCUUUUUAUCUUUUUGUUUUCUGAAAAACUGGAAUUUCAAGAACCUAAAAAAACUCAGAGAGCCUUUAAUCCCUUGAAAUAUUUUCUCCAAAAGUUCUCAAAAAAAAAUCAAACAAAAAUCCCCCCUCUUACCCAAAAAUGGUCCCUUAUAUAUCCAAACUCCGGAUUCUUUCUUCCUGUUCAAGAAAGCGGAUAAGGCUCUCUUGAAACGAGCACGUGAUGAAGGUGAGGCUCGGAUUGAAUGAGAUCGAUCCGACACCUCUCACUCAUCCACCACCCCUCUUCUUGAGCCUUCUAAUCCGCGUGAAAUAACUUGAAAACGGGCGAGUGAGGGAAGGAAUCCUGUUGUUAUCAGAGGUCGUUACACCUAUGUGGCAAGAGGAGAGAGGGGGAAGGCGCGUGAGAUGAGUUAGGGUGAAUUCGGGUGAGUUUGGUGAAGGGGAAGAUGAAUAGUGGCCUUCUGCGCAGCUUUUGGGGUCUUUGGGACGUAGGGUUUUUCUUGUAACAAAUGAUACAACACUUUCAUAUUGGGGUGGGUCAGAGACGGGUUUGGGUCCGGUUUUCU